rnacentral:rRNA from 1 species
UACAGAGGGUGCGAGCGUUGUCCGGAAUCACUGGGCGUAAAGAGCUCGUAGGUGGUUUGUCGCGUUGUUCGUGAAAUCUCACGGCUUAACUGUGAGCGUGCGGGCGAUACGGGCAGACUGGAGUACUGCAGGGGAGACUGGAAUUCCUGGUGUAGCGGUGGAAUGCGCAGAUAUCAGGAGGAACACCGGUGGCGAAGGCGGGUCUCUGGGCAGUAACUGACGCUGAGGAGCGAAAGCGUGGGGAGCGAACAGG